AAGUUUUCAUGCCCUAGUUCAUGGUUAACUUUUUUCAAAACAGUCAAUUUUCAAAGUUUUUCUACAAUAAAGGACUUGGACAAUUCUAAAGUUCAUGUGAUAUGAGACAUUUUUGCAAAUACAAAUGAUUAUUAAUUUUCUUAUUUAUUCAUAUCAGUAUAAAAUAGGAACUUAUAUCUCAACAAAUAGGUCCACUGGGAGAUCAUUAAAUAUGGAAAGAUUUUUCUGUUCUUACGUUUAAAAAUAAUAGACCAAAUGCUUUUUUAAAAGAGGUACAAUACAAAUGUGAUGUCUUCAAAUCUUAUUCGUUUCAUCACAUUUUUAAGACACCUCGCUAGUGUAUUGGAUUAGUAUGCUCAGAUGUAUCAGUUCCAUUUUGAGGGUUCCUAUUUCCUGGAUGUGUAGAUAUAUUUUUUCCAGUCUUUCCCAGCAUGUAUUUAUAAUAAUUCAUAAGUAAAAGCACAGAUUUAAUUGUAAUCUAGCUUGAUGCUCUUUUCCAGAUUCCUAACGUGAAACUCAUUUCUUACAUGGUACCUCAAAUUAACAGUCUAUUCAAUAAAAUUGUAAGCCCUUAAAAUUUGAGGGGGUGGCCCUUGUCAAAAUGAAAAAUGGAAAACUCAUGCUUCAGAGAUAGGAACAAAUAAUAUGUGAAAACAUUUAAGAGGUUUGAAGUUAUUAAAAUGGCAGAUCUACUGGGAAUAGAAAGAGCAGUAUGUCAUGGAAGAAACGAAGGAGCGGGGAGGCAGGAAGCAUUCCCUGGCCUUUUCAAUCCUACGUUUUAAAACAAAACAAAAAAAUUCUGGGAGAAUUGGAAGGUAGCCAACCUAAUGCCGUUAUUUCAUAGAGCUUAGGGACACACCAGGAAAUUACAGGCCAGUUAGUUUAACUUCACUUGUAGGGAAAGUAUUAAAAACUGCUGCAGGAGAUCAAGUAAAAGGAUGCUUAGAAAAGCACAGCUUGAUUAAGGCAAGCCUGGCCAACGUGGUUUUCGGAAAGGGAAGGUCAUGUCUUAGGAACUUGUUGAAAUUCUUUGAAGCUAUUAUGGCCAGUAGAGUCUUCAAAGCACAUGGCCAAGUCCAGAACCUGCGUAUCUUUUCCGUCGCACAUCAGUCCUUCAGGGAUGCCUGCAGAAUGUGGCCUGCACCAGGGGCUUCAGCACUCCAGGUUUGGAAACCACUAUCAAAAUAGCAGAAAAUAACCUCUGAUGGAACAUUUUUCAAGCUGGAACCAAUUAAUACAACCUGAUGUUUAUAAAUGAAAAAUAAUGAGACUUGGAACAAAAUUUAGGAAUAUUGGGCUGUAACAAAGAAGUACUACUCUGGGACUAUAAAAACAACCUAAGAGUUAUUUUGCCAGAAUCUGGACUGCGGAGGUCUUUCUCACCCAAAGAAGGGAAGACAGGAGAAAUAGCAGUGCUAGAAACUGUUACACAGUAAAAGGUUAUAAAGAGUUGCAACUAAAUUAAUUCUGUCGAGCUGGGGAAAAGAGCAGUGGAGUGUGCGAACAACUGAGCCUCCAUAUUCUGGAGGAGGCCAGAGCAGCCCAGCAGAGAAAGCCACGUUCAGAGAGGGCAGAAGGUCAGGACGCCAUUGCUUUAGGAAUGGGCUCCCAGGGUGUAAAUAUGUUUGCUUCUCAGAU
rnacentral:lncRNA from 1 species